rnacentral:lncRNA from 1 species
UUCUCAGGGCAUACAAGUAUAUUCCUGGGGCACAAGCAAAAGCCUCCCUGGAGCACACAGAUAAUAAGAAUAAGAAAAUUUUCUGCCCCUGUCACCCAAGCAUUUCCCUGCAGCACAGAAGCACCUCCCUGGAACACUCAAGCACCUCACUGGAGCACCAAAGAAUCUCCCCGCCGCACUCCUACAUCUAAGUGGAGAAGCCAAGCAUCUCCCAGGCCUCCAGAACACCACCUGGGGCACACAACCAUCUCACUGGAGAUGGGAAGCACCUCGCUUGGCACCCAAGAGCUUCCAUGGGGUGCACAAGCACCUGCCAUGGUCAUUCAAGUAUGUCCCUGUGGGCACGCAGGCAUCUCCCCAGGGGACACAAACACCAACUUGGAGGAACCAAGCAUCUCCUCACAGCACUCCAGCAUCUCCAUGAAGCCAAGCAUCACACAAAAAGCACCCAACCAUUUCCCUGGACUACCCAAAAUCCAAAAGCUUUACCCUGUAUCAAACAAAUGCCCUCCUUGGGUACACAAGCACAUCUCCUGGGUACCCAGGUGUCUCCAAAUAGUACUCAAGCAUUUCUCUGCAGCCACCAAGGAACUUUCAGGAUCACCAGUCCACCUUCCUGGGACAUCCAAUAAACUUCCUGCAUCACCCAGGUGUCUUCUUGGAGAAACCAAGCAUCUCCUUGUGCACCAAGGGAGCAUCCGUACAGAGCAGCCAAGAAGCCUGAGGAGCACCCAGGUUGUUCUUGGGAUAGCCAAGAACCUCCACGGAGCAAGAAAGCAUCUCCUGAGGCACCCUGGCAUCUCAGGGGAGCACACAAGCGUCUCCUCUGCACACACCAGCACAUCCUCUGAGUUUCCUGGACCAUUCAGGCUCACACUGCGUUUCAGCCCCUGCUCCAUUGCGCACUCACCUCCCUGUCCUGCCCUGCUCUGCCCUCUGCUGCCUGCUGCCAGGGGCUUCCAUCCCGACUGGGGCCUGCCCGCACCCCUGGCCCUUUCUCCCAGCCUGGCUGCCGUGUCACAGCCCCACUGUGACACCUGGGUUACACAUCCACCACUGCCCCCUGCCCACUGUGACACCUGGGUGGCACAGCCACCGCUGCCCCCCUGCCUACUCUGACACCUGGGUGACAGCCACCGCUAACCUCCUGCUCACUGGGACUCCACUCAGUAUGUCUUUCUUUGGACUCGCAUAUUUGUCAGUGAUACUGUCGUGGUUUAACCCGGCCGGCAGCUA